GACUCUUGGCAACGGAUAUCUCAGCUCUCGCCAUGAUGAAGAAUGUAGCGAAAUGUGAUACUUAGUGUGAAUUGUAGAAUCUCGUGAAUCAUCGAGUCUUUGAAUGCAUGUUGUGCCCAAGGCCUCAACCGAGGGUACGUCUGCUUGGGCGUUG